rnacentral:rRNA from 1 species
UACGUAGGGUGCGAGCGUUGCCCGGAUUUAUUGGGCGUAAAGGGCGCGCAGGCGGCUCGGCACGUCCGUUGUGAAAUCGCCCGGCUCAACUGCAGGCUUGAGGUCGAUACGGGCAGGCUAGAGUUCGGUAGGGGAGACUGGAAUUCCUGGUGUAGCGGUGAAAUGCGCAGAUAUCAGGAGGAACACCGGUGGCGAAGGCGGGUCUCUGGGCCGAUACUGACGCUGAGGAGCGAAAGCGUGGGGAGCGAACAGG